CUUAUUAAAACCAUUUACGCGUUUCACCUUUGGGGUUUUCUCAAAAUGGUAAAAGAACAAUACACCUGGCAAGGAACUGACUUUAUAAGUAAACAGAGAUUGAAUAUGGCGCCAAGAUUUUAGUGCACCAAUCACAAACAAGUUUUAAAACAAAACAUUAAAUACAUUUCAAAUUAACUUUAAAAUGUUAUAGGUACAUUAGUGUAAGGCUAAUUGGGCUUGG